rnacentral:rRNA from 1 species
UACAGAGGUCCCAAGCGUUGUUCGGAUUCACUGGGCGUAAAGGGUGCGUAGGUGGUCGGGUAAGUCUGAUGUGAAAUCUCCAAGCUCAACUUGGUAACUGCAUCGGAUACUAUUCGGCUUGAGGGUUGGAGGGGGGACUGGAAUGCUUGGUGUAGCAGUGAAAUGCGUAGAUAUCAAGCGGAACACCAGUGGCGAAGGCGAGUCCCUGGACAACUCCUGACACUGAGGCACGAAAGCUAGGGGAGCAAACAGG